ACAGUGGUAGUUCAGUGGUGGAACUCUUGCCUUUCAUGUAGGAGACCUAGAUUCGAUUCUCAGCCAAUGUA
rnacentral:tRNA from 1 species